rnacentral:lncRNA from 1 species
UCCAGGCGGGACCCCCUUGCUCACACACCCAAGGCCUCCUUCCUUCCUCCCUCCCCUCCUUCGCCCGCAGGGAGCGAGGAGAGGCACGGACCCGUCGGGAGAGAAAACCCCAGGCCUCUUCUGUAAGAUGGGCAGGAGCCAUGACAGUUCGCAUCAUUUGGAAGCAGCAAGACCUUCCCAUCCCCAUCUUCUCCCAAUAAAACAGAGGGGCCUUUAGAGAGAAGUCGAACUUCAGCCCAAACAGUACACAGCACACAACAACAAAGGGUGAGAGCUCUUGGGAUGCUGUAGUCAGAUGGUGUGGUGCCAGCUGGAGGAUGUCUCCAAAUAUCACACGGAAUCCAGCCUAGG